CCUACGGGUGGCAGCAGUGGGGAAUAUUGCACAAUGGGGGAAACUCUGAUGCAGCGACGUCGCGUGAGUGAUGAAGUAAUUCGUUAUGUAAAGCUCUAUCUGUAGGGAAGAAAAUGACGGUACCUGAGUAAGAAGCCCCGGCUAACGACUGGCCAGCAGCCGCGGUACUACGGAGGGGGCAAGCGUUAUCCGGAUUUACUGGGUGUAAAGGGAGCGUAGACGGCAGUGCAAGUCUGGAGUGAAAGGCGGGGGCUCAACCCCCGGACUGCUCUUGAAACUGUACGGCUUGAGUGCAGGAGAGGUAAGUGGAAUUCCUAGUGUAGCGGUGAAAUGCGUAGAUAUUAGGAGGAACACCAGUGGCGAAGGUGGCUUACUGGACUGUAACUGACGUUGAGGCUCGAAAGCGUGGGGAGCAAACAGGAUUAGAUACCCCAGUAGUC
rnacentral:rRNA from 1 species